GCCAGGGUGGCGAAAUGGUUAGCGCAUCUGCCUAGCAAGCAGGACACCUGGGUUCGAAUCCCACCCCUGGUA